UACAGAGGGUGCGAGCGUUGUUCGGAAUUAUUGGGCGUAAAGAGCGUGUAGGCGGCUUUACAGGUCCGUUGUGAAAACUCGAGGCUCAACCUCGAGACGCCGGUGGAAACCGUAAAGCUAGAGUCCGGAAGAGGAGAGUGGAAUUCCUGGUGUAGCGGUGAAAUGCGCAGAUAUCAGGAGGAACACCCGUGGCGAAAGCGGCUCUCUGGGACGGUACUGACGCUGAGACGCGAAAGCGUGGGGAGCAAACAGG
rnacentral:rRNA from 1 species